UGUAGUAUUAAUACUAAUAUGUGCACACGUAGGUGUGUGCUGUAGUAUUAAUACUAAUAUGUGCACAAGUAGUUGUGUGCUAUACUAUUAAUACUAAUAUGUGCACACGUAGGUGUGUGCUGUAGUAUUGAUACUAAUAUGUGCACACGUAGGUGUGUGCUAUACUAUUAAUACUAAUAUGUGCACACGUAGGUGUGUGCUGUAGUAUUGAUACUAAUAUGUGCACACGUAGGUGUGUGCUGUAGUAUUAAUACUAAUAUGUGCACAAGUAGGUGUGUGCUGUAGUAUUAAUACUAAUAUGUGCACAAGUAGUUGUGUGCUGUAGUAUUAAUACUAAUAUGUGCACACGUAGGUGUGUGCUGUAGUAUUAAUACUAAUAUGUGCACAAGUAGUUGUGUGCUAUACUAUUAAUACUAAUAGUUUUCUUCACUUCUUUAAAAGCACGAGGUUUUACAGCGGUGUUUUAGUUUGCGAUUGGGCAGAGCACUUAAAAGGAAAUAAACCCAAACAUUUUUAUUUAUGAUUCAGAUAGAACAUAACAUUUAAAACAGCUUUCCCAGUUACUUCUAUUAUCAUAUUUGUUUAAUUCUCUUGGUAUCCUUUGUUGAAGUAGCAGCAAUGCACUACUGAGAGCUAGCUGAACACAUCUGUUUGAACCAAUAAUAAUAAGCAUAUUGAGCAGCUACCAAUUAGCAGCUGGCUCCCAGUACUGUAUUGCUACUUCUGAGCCUACCUAGGUAUGCUUUUCAACAAAUGAUACCAAGAGAACUAAGCAAAUUAGAUAAAAGAAAUACAUUGGAAAGUUGUUUAAAAUUGCAUGUUCUGGGUUUCACGUCCCUUUAACUCACCACUUCUAACACGAGCACAAGGAGGACUCCAAUAGCUCUUCCUGCUCUGUGUAGUAAAAGUAUAGAGCGCACUAAACGGUUUUUCACCAAAAUACCCUGCAGUGUCGCCUGCGCUCCACUUGUAAUCUAGCCCCUUAUGUUUAGUGUUUAUAAUAGGCUAUAAAUAGGUUAUGUUGUUAGUUAUAUUUUUCUAUGUAUUCAAUGUUACACUUAUAUAAAAAGCACCACUUGUUUACCCCUUUAUCUGUGUGUCCAACGAGUCUGAUUUCUUUAAAUAUAUUGUUUGUUGUAAGGUUCAGUUUUUGCACAUUAAACAUAUUCAUUUUUAUAAAUAUUUCCUGCACAAUAAAAUAUCAAUCUCACUUUUAAA